CACGAUCUGCGUGGCUUGUGUGGGCAGUGUGGUGUGGACCCCCGGGGCUCACGAAUGGACAUUGUCAGCAGACUUCAGCAAGAAAUUAAAAACAGAGAUAGCUAUGACAAGGUCUUCUCUCAGAUCUGUGUUCAUCUGAAGUUGUACUUACUGUAAGUUGUAGAACUGGUCUGUGGACAGCAUUAAAGGCAAAUCCAACAGGGAAUCUACCAAUGCUAUUCUCUCUUUCUCCCUCGCCCUCUUUCCCUCAAUCUUUUUUGCUUGUUCUUAUAGGUGGAUGGGCAGUGGUAACCUGUCCAUGUGCCGUGGUCUACGCUGUAAACAUUUUCCAAAUGUCACAUUCUACGAUUUCGCCUGUGGUUUGGUAACCCACGCCAACCACAGAGUGCCAGAAACUUUCUGACCGCAUGGUGGCAGGUUGCUUGAACCUACAGAGAGCAAUAUCUCACGGGCCAGUUCAGGUGAACUCAAAGUUACCUUGCCAUGGCUACGUAACAAAAAGAAGGUGCCAGACAGUGAUGGACACCCUCUUACUAGGUCCUCAGAUCGCUACGCUCUUUGAUUGUUUUCAUGAAGAUAACACAAAGGACGUGAAAGAUGUCCUGCGAAAAGUGGAACUGGUUCCAGAGAUCUGUGGCUGGGUCAACAGCCAGUCUGCCAAACAGCUUUUCACUGGGAUGAGGCGGAAUAACCAUUUCCUGAACAUGAUGACCCCAUCUUCACAUAUUUUCUUAAUGAGAAACAUUUUGCACUAUUAUAACAACAACAAGAAUGCUGUAACAAUGGAAAACAUUAAGAAGUUGGCCAGGAUGUAACGUUAAAUUGUUAUGGCCAAGCAGUGUUGGGUCCACAAUCUACAGACUCCUCCACACUUUGGCAAAGUUUGACCGAUGACGACACCCUUGGAGCAGGUGCACAACCUCCAGACAACAGUAAUGUGUCAACAGAGCAUGGCCCAAGACCAGAUGAAGAAUUGACCAAUGUGGGUCCACAAUCUACAGACUCCUCCACACUUGGGGACACCCUUGGAGCAGGCAAGCCGUGUGGAUCUCACUGUGCGUGUCUCACGAGUGCAGGCUCAAUAGAGGCCAAGAGGUCGUGCUGGUCCUUUGAUUUGCACCGUGAUCAAGAACAAGUGCUAGGUUAUGUCUUGGACCCCAAAAGACCGGGCCAUGAACUCAUAGUGCGCAACAACAGUAUCUGCCUGACCUGUUUAGACUUCUGCACACUUGGCCUGCAUUAGCAGAUGGAGUCAACUAUUGGGAAUGCCUGCUUUGACAUGAUCAAGAGAAUUGUGGUAUCCAAGGGAAAGAAUGUCCACAUUGUGGAUCUUUAUGGCUGCCCCACUUGGCUGCCACCUGUUAGCAUGAACCCUAUGGCAAGUAUACCCAGCCAAGCCCAUCAGAUGGAUGCCAUUUUCAUCCUGCUGUGGACACCUGGUCACUAUCAGAUCUGUCCAUGGUCAAGUCUUUGCACAUUGGACAGCGGAGUGCCAGGAGCUGUUGAGUGGAAAUUAUUCCCCAGUGUUGAGGCUGAAGCGCAAGCGCAAGCAGGACCUUGAGUGUCGACCCUCUGCACCUGCUACAAUCUCACAGUCACGAUAGUGUCUUGCUGAACAAAAGGGCUUCUGUGUUUUCCAGUCAUCAGCAAACUCUGGACAGAGAUAGUCAUCAAAAUCCUGGAGGGCGAAGGUCUGUCUAGACUAUAAUCUGAAGUCCUGAUGACCAGAGGAGGCAUCACAUUUUAAAUAUCAUUGACCUCACGUGCUCUGGUUGGUCAGCGUUUCCAGAUCUUCUACAUCUGCACUCUGUGUCUCUGAAUAAGGGUUGUGUGCAUUUCGCUGUAGAUUGAGCAUUUUGAUACUUUCACAAUAUUUACAAAGCACCUCAACCUGCUUUAUAAUAAAAUGUUUACGGUU